UACGAGUGCCCCCAAGCGUUAUCCGGAAUCAUUGGGCGUAAAGGGUGUGUAGGCGGUUGUGUUAGUCUUCUGUUAAAAUCCGGAGCUCAACUUCGGAACUGCAGGGGAAACGGCACGACUCGAGGAUGCGAGAGGUAGAUGGAACUCAUGGAGUAGGGGUGAAAUCCGUUGAUAUCAUGGGGAACACCGAAAGCGAAGGCAAUCUACUAGUGCAUUCCUGACGCUGAGACACGAAAGCGUGGGUAGCGAACGGG
rnacentral:rRNA from 1 species